rnacentral:rRNA from 1 species
UACGCAGGGUGCAAGCGUUAAUCGGAAUUACUGGGCGUAAAGCGUGCGCAGGCGGCGCGUUAAGACAGGUGUGAAAGCCCCGAGCUUAACUUGGGAAUUGCGCUUGUGACUGGCGUGCUGGAGUGUGGCAGAGGGAGGUGGAAUUCCACGUGUAGCAGUGAAAUGCGUAGAGAUGUGGAGGAACACCGAUGGCGAAGGCAGCCUCCUGGGCCAGCACUGACGCUCAUGCACGAAAGCGUGGGGAGCAAACAGG